rnacentral:rRNA from 1 species
GAUGAACGCUGGCGGCGUGCCUAAUACAUGCAAGUCGAGCGAACAGACGAGGAGCUUGCUCCUCUGAUGUUAGCGGCGGACGGGUGAGUAACACGUGGAUAACCUACCUAUAAGACUGGGAUAACUUCGGGACACCGGAUCUAAUACCGGAUAAUAUAUUGAACCGUAUGGUUCAAUAGUGAAAGACGGUUUUGCUGUCACUUAUAGAUGGUUCCGCGCCGCAUUAGCUAGUUGGUAAGGUAACGGCUUACCAAGGCAACGAUGCGUAGCCGACCUGAGAGGGGGAUCGGCCACACUGGAACUGAGACACGGUCCAGACUCCUACGGGAGGCAGCAGUAGGGAAUCUUGGGCAAUGGGCGAAAGCCUGACGGAGCAACGCCGCGUGAGUGAUGAAGGUCUUCGGAUCGUAAAACUCUGUUAUAAGGGAAGAACAAAUGUGUAAGUAACUAUGCACGUCUUGACGGUACCUAAUCAGAAAGCCACGGCUAACUACGUG